rnacentral:rRNA from 1 species
GUGCCAGCCGCGGCGGUAAUACGUAGGUGGCAAGCGUUAUCCGGAUUUAUUGGGCGUAAAGCGAGCGCAGGCGGUUACUUAAGUCUGAUGUGAAAGCCUUCGGCUUAACCGGAGAAGUGCAUCGGAAACUGGGUAACUUGAGUGCAGAAGAGGACAGUGGAACUCCAUGUGUAGCGGUGAAAUGCGUAGAUAUAUGGAAGAACACCAGUGGCGAAGGCGGCUGUCUGGUCUGUAACUGACGCUGAGGCUCGAAAGCAUGGGUAGCGAACAGGAUUAGAUACCCUGGUAGUCCAUGCCGUAAACGAUGAAUGCUAGGUGUUGGAGGGUUUCCGCCCUUCAGUGCCGCAGCUAACGCAUUAAGCAUUCCGCCUGGGGAGUACGACCGCAAGGUUGAAACUCAAAGGAAUUGACGGGGGCCCGCACAAGCGGUGGAGCAUGUGGUUUAAUUCGAAGCUACGCGAAGAACCUUACCAGGUCUUGACAUACUGUGCUAACCUAAGAGAUUAGGCGUUCCCUUCGGGGAC